CAGCAGCCGCGGUAAUACGUAGGUGGCAAGCGUUGUCCGGAAUUAUUGGGCGUAAAGCGCGCGCAGGCGGUCCUUUAAGUCUGAUGUGAAAGCCCACGGCUCAACCGUGGAGGGUCAUUGGAAACUGGGGGACUUGAGUGCAGAAGAGGAAAGUGGAAUUCCACGUGUAGCGGUGAAAUGCGUAGAGAUGUGGAGGAACACCAGUGGCGAAGGCGACUUUCUGGUCUGUAACUGACGCUGAGGCGCGAAAGCGUGGGGAGCAAACAGGAUUAGAUACCCUGGUAGUCCACGCCGUAAACGAUGAGUGCUAAGUGUUAGGGGGUUUCCGCCCCUUAGUGCUGCAGCUAACGCAUUAAGCACUCCGCCUGGGGAGUACGGCCGCAAGGCUGAAACUUAAAGGAAUUGGCGGG
rnacentral:rRNA from 1 species